rnacentral:rRNA from 1 species
UACAGAGGUCUCAAGCGUUGUCCGGAAUUAUUGGGCGUAAAGAGCUCGUAGGCGGUCUGUUGCGUCCGCUGUGAAAACUCGGGGCUUAACCCCGAGCCUGCAGUGGAUACGGGCAGACUAGAGGUAGGUAGGGGAGAAUGGAAUUCCCGGUGUAGCGGUGAAAUGCGCAGAUAUCAGGAGGAACACCGGUGGCGAAGGCGGGUCUCUGGGCCGAUACUGACGCUGAGGAGCGAAAGCGUGGGGAGCGAACAGG